GAGGCUGAGCAGGAGAGGCUGCUGGAGGGGCAGUGGGUUCUGCUUCCAGCCUUGUCACCUGUCCUCCAUCAGGGUCUGUAAGGCAGGGUGGGCAGAGAUGGAUUAGGGGCAGCAUCACACCCACCAGGCACCCCAUGAUGAAAAGCAGACGCUCACCUUUACAAGCACAGGAUACUCUGGAAUGACUUUUACAAAGCCAAGUGGUAAACAUGACAGCUGCUGUUAUUAAGAUUUCCAACAAACAGUAACUUUAAAGAUUAUCUGAUCUGAAAUCUCGCCAUUGGAGAACUCCAGACAUCGAUAUGAUUAUUACACAAUAGACAUUCUUUUCAAGACUUCCACUACACUAUAUAUUUGGAUUUUACAUCACUGAAAGAUGUUAAUGAUUUUACAUAAAAAUUGAAGUUCAGGAAGCACUGCUGUGUGUCUGAACUGAAUAAAGUUUAUCUAAAGGAAAGCUAACUGCAAAAUAGAAAAUGACUCUAAAAAGGAAAGGUAUUCCAUUAACAAUUUUACAAAUCCUCUUCUGAAAAGUUAAAAUGGUCUUGAUUUGGAUAAAUUUAAUACCCACCUUGAUAUCAUACUAUAGAUAUACAAAAAUUAAGCAUAAUCUAAGUUUCCUGAGGGGUUGUUUUUCUUUACAUUAUUAACCUGUCCAAUUUCCAGGGAAAACAUCCAUGCAUCAUUACCCACCAAAAAACUUCACAGAAACUACAGAAAAAUUGAAGAAAUGCUUCGUAGAUCAGUAAAGGUGGCAGAAAGACACCAUCAGUCAUGGAUUUUCUCCCCGUUUUCCUCACCUGGAGAGCAGCUGGUCCCAUCUUCUUGCAAAGUGAAUUCCGGGAAACAGGAGCACUUGUAGGACCCCACAGUGUUUAUACACAAAUGCUGACAGAGUUCCCCACCGUAGAGAAGACAUUCAUCCAGGUCAUCUCCAGGCAGGUUAUUUGACAGCUCAGCUUCAUUGCUGAUGGACAAAGCUUCAUUGUGAUCUUCCGUCUCUGAAACUAACAGAGAACAAAACAUGCUGGUUCUCUAACAGGUGCUUUGGCAUUAGCUCUGUAAGAAUGGAGCAUUUGCUCACACAAACUCCAGAUACAGUAAAAUCUACCCAAAACAGUUACUUCAAGGAUAAGAGAAAAUCCAUCCAUCCUGAAGAUAAGACCACUGUGCUGGACACAUCCACUACCUCUUUCUGCAAGGCUGGACGGACAGACAUUUCACAGGAGCCAUGGAGGAAAAGACCUUGAGAGGUCACAAGCUCAACUUUCAUGCUCACUAACACCAUUGCUGUUAUUUGUACCAAGGCAUCACAUUGAAGUUUCAUCUGAAACUGUCCCCACUGCAACACCACAUUCAAUUUUUAAAUUUCAGAAGAAAAAGUUAACCAGUUAGUUUGGAGACUCUUCAACUAACCACUGUUAACUGGUUAGCUACUUCUGCAGCUAACAAUAUAGCAAAUAUUAAUAGCAUAACAAAUAUUCCAGGACCCACUCCAUACUGACAUGGCUAUCCCAUUUACUGCUUUUGAACACUGGCAAAAGCACUAUCCUUCUUUUCAGUUCUUGACCAAGUUUGACAAGAUUUUCUGUGAUAUUAAAUGAAUUGUUCAGUAAGUUUCUCAGUCAGCUUUUCUUAAACACAUAUAUGUAAACUUCCUCGGUCAGUGUAGUCUCAGCUAGGUUGAAAUAAAUCCUUACUCUUUUUGGCAAGAGAAAAUACACAUUUCGUUCAUGAGAGGAGAAUGGUCAAAAUUUGAACCCUUGCAUAUCCAGGAGGUUACCGAGCAAUUCAUGCGUGACAGGUGGCUACAGAAUGAUGCUGGAAGGAGCGUGGCCUUGGGCUGAGGGAAGCGUAGCUGUCCAAGCUCCAGAUUUGUCAUGCUCCCUUUGUCAUGCCUCUUUUACAGCAGGGAUUUGACCUAGCUCUUCAGCAUCACCAUGCUCAUAUGUUGGAAGAAUAAAACCUCAAUUACAGUGCUCUGGGGCUUCUCCAGUGUAUACUGUGGGAAAGGUCCUGCGACGUUCAGGAGUACAAUAGGAAAUCUAAUUCCUGGAGGUUUCAUUGCUAACAUAAAGCAUGGGCCUACUUUGUCUGGAAAAAACUCAUGGCUUGUUUCACACAAAAUCUUUCAGGACUGCUAAAAGAAAAUCAACAGCUUCAGCUUUGCUUCUUACAAAGGGUGGUGGCUUCCUGCCCACCAGUGGUCUAAAAAGGUCUUUAAGGUUUUUGUUUGUUUGUUUGUUUAAAAAAAAAAAAAAAAAAGAAACUGACAGGUAGGUCUCAUCUCUCAUCUAGCUGGUCUUCACGGCAUACUCUGCAUAUCACCCAGAAGCAGCAGCACUUCUGUUUGUUAUCUGGCAGGUCCCUGCACUAUGCAAUCAAGGGAGUGGAAGGGGGGUGGGGAAUGCAAACACUACAGGAAAGGUAUGUUCUGGGGAUCAGUGUGAGACAGAGACUGUAUCUGCAACGUCUUCAAAUUAAAAAUGGACACUAACCCUUCUCAGGUGUCACUGUUGGCAAAGGUUCGGGAUGCUUUUUUAUUUCUGGCUGGAUGAAGUGAUCUCCCCCUUCACAGCAGGACAGCAUCACAUGGCUGCAGGGAUAGCCCAGAUUUAUGUUGGACUCACAGGUUUUCCCCUCACUCCUCAAUCGCAGGCCCAGA